GACAGAGGUGCCGAGCGUUGAGGCGGAAUCACUGGGCUUAAAGCGUGUGUAGGCGGCCCGUUAAGUGUCCGAGUGAAAUCCCCCCGGCUCAACCGGGGAACCGCCGGGCAUACUGGCGGGCUUGGGCCGCUCAGGGGCAGACGGAACAGGCGGUGGAGCGGUGAAAUGCGUAGAUAUCGCCUGGAACGCCGAAGGUGAAAACAGUCUGCUGGGGGCGUGCCCGACGCUGAGACACGAAAGCCAGGGGAGCGAACGGG
rnacentral:rRNA from 1 species